rnacentral:lncRNA from 1 species
GUUGGAAUAUCAAAUAUUGAUGCAAUUAACUGUUUGACCCAAGCAAACUUCAGUUAUUACUAGAGCCCAUUUAAAAGUUAUUCACAUCAAAUGGCUUUUUACAUUUCUGCCUGUAAGGCUUCCAUGGGGAAUUAUGUCCAUUAACAAUAUAUUAACACCAGCAGCUGGAAAAGUGGAGGGGGAAGUGACCAAAUAUUGACCAGACUUGCAUAACCAAUAACUUCACACAAUGGUAUUUGUCAUAAAUCCUUAAACCUUGAAAUCUUGAACAGAUUAAUUCUUCUAUACUGUUAUUCGGUUCAACAGACUAAUAUUACUCAUUUUUAGUCUUUUUAAAACCAGUUGCCCAUUGAAUUGCACUUGAUAUCUUUUGUUAAUAAGAAGAAUAAAAGGACUUACCAUAUAACCUCUAUAAGCUGCUUGAAUUUUUGUAGCUGAAGCAUUUUGGUUCCUUAAAGUUGGUUCUGGUCGAGAACGGAGAAUCCUAGGAGGAGGAACUCUUGGAGAAGCAGCUCUAGGAGAGGCAGCUCGUGGAGGUGGAGGUGGAGGUGGAGAAGCAGCUCUAGGGGAAGCAGCUUGAGGAGGUGGAGGUGAUGGUGGAGAAGCAGCUCGUGGAGGUGGAGAAGCAGCUCUAGGGGAAGCAGUUCUUGGAGAAGCAACCCUAGGAGAGGCAAUCCUCUGAGAUGGAACCCGUGGAGAAGCAGCUCUAUGAGGCACAAAUGGUGGUGUUCUUGGCUGCUCUGGAGGUGUGGGAGGCCUGAAUAUUAGUUUAUGCUCUCUUUCAGCCUCCCCCAGAAUUUUCUCAAUACUGCU